CACUUUUGGCAACGGAUCACUUGGCUCUCGCACCGAUGAAGAACGCAGCGAAAUGCGAUAAGUAAUGUGGAUUGCAGAAUUCAGUGAAUCAUCGAAUCUUUGAACGCACCAUGCGCUCCUUGGUAUUACGAGGAGCAUGCCUGUUUGAGUGUCUUGAAGUCAUCAACCCCUCCCGUUUUGCGCGAGACGAAGGUUGGAGAUGGGGGCCGGCGGCCGUGAGGCCGCUCCCCUCAAAUGCUUCGGUUGGGCCUGUGGGUCGAACUCGGUUGGGCGUUGUACCAUCCUCGCUCUUUGUCCGAGAAGUUCCUCUUUGAUUGAGCCCUCCCACGACUGCCGUUCCAGAGGCGGUCAAUUUAAUUUGAAAUCUGACCUCAAAUCAGGUAGGACUACCCGCUGAACUUAAGCAUAUCAAUAAGCGGAG
rnacentral:misc_RNA from 1 species